ACUUUAAGUCUCCUGAAGGAACGUUAAAGACGAUGACGUUGAUAGGCCGGGUGUGUAAGCGCAGCGAUGCGUUGAGCUAACCGGUACUAAUGAACCGUGAGGCUUAACCUUACAACGCCGAAG
rnacentral:rRNA from 1 species